CCUGCAGGGUUCGGUGCGCGCGCGGCUGAGCGUUGGUGGCUCGAAGGAGGAGGCGGGGGAGGCAGGGUCCCCGCUGCGCAGGGCGGGCCUGAGGCUGGUUGAGCCCCAACACCCGGGACUGGGGUCCCCGAGCCUCCCCGACUCCUCUCCGCCGACAGAGGCCCCUCGGCCUCUCCCCAUCGGACCCUCCAGCCUCGGGGCCGGCGCCGCUCGGGUCCCGCCGCCCAGGGCGCAGCGUCCAGCGCACCAGUCCAUGGACUCUGCUGGUUCACCUCCCUUUCUUGUCCGCUGUGCUGCGGCUGCCAGUGCUGAGCUUUGUGGAGAGUCCUGAGCAAUGAACUCCUCGAGCAUCCCUAACACCCAUUGUUUCUCAAAAGGCAGAAAGUGUCUGGAGUCACGAAUUUUACAGACAGCUUCCCCUCAGAGGUAUGGACCAUCAUCCUGAGGGGGCACCAAGCUGGUGGGCAUCCUGCCCCUUCUCUCCUGGCAGGUAGGCCUGGCUGGCCUCUGAUUAUCGGGAGAUGGUGGUCUUUCCGAAGAGGUCACUUAGCACGUCAUCCCGGAAACUGGGGGAGUGUCCUCCAGAGAAGAGAGGAAGAACUGAAAGGCAAGCAAAGGGCAGGAGUGUCCUCAGAGAGCCCUCCCUUUCCCUACCCACCUCUCCCAGACGUCCCCUGUGCAGGCCACGAUGCCAGGACCAAAAUUUCCACUCCUACUCGGCCUGUUCACAGCCUAGCAUCACCCCAACACACAGCGUUCUUGGUCAGGAUGGCUGUGGCUUGGUGGCUGGGUCAGUGGAGGCACCUGUGCGGUCUAGGCUGCCUCUAUGGGGGGCCCCUCUCUUUGGAAUUAGGUCCCCAGGGCCUGGGGCAGAGAAGGACAGUGACAGAUGGGGCUGCAACAUCCCAUGCCAAGGUAGGGCGAUCCCACCAAGGCCUAGAAGCAGAGGCAGCAGGGAACACGGAGCCCUGAGUCAAAAGUGGGGCCGCGUUCCUCACAGGCUGUGGUCUGAAUGGGAGCCCCUGGCUGCAGACCUGAGCUGAGGCCCUGGGAGGCCAGCCCUUGCUCUAUCCAUGGCUCAGAAGGUGAGCCCUGAGCAGCUGGGAGAAAAUCCUCAUCUCUGCAUGGUGAUUUUGACCGCAAAAUCAGUUUUACCUUGUAUUUUGUGCUUUUCUCCAAUCUCUGAAUUUUCUACCAUGAACAUAUAGUCUUGUCAAAGGUAAUUGAAGAAAAAAGAAUUAGGGAAAGAACCCCUAAAAGACCUUCAACUCACUCAUAGUAAGUCAGGGGAUGGGCUCUCCAAAUACAAGUGGAAAAUGCAUGCGGUUGGAGUUCUAGUAGCAUUAGGACAAGGCUAUUUUGCCCAGAGUCUGGCUCCAGGCCGCCUGAGGACUCUGUGCCUAGAGCCACGCCCACUGUUGGGAUUCCUGCCCCUUCCACACUCUCCUAGGACCUACCCCCCAGCCCUCCAGCCAUUCAGUGUCUGCACUCAGUGUCUUCACUCCGUGAAGUUUGAAGCACCCACCUAUUACCACUUGAAAUGAAGGGGAAAUUUGGCUUUAAGUCUGGUGCAAUGGACCAGACAAGCAUCCACUGUAUGAAGUCAGCAUGUGGAGCAGAGAGGAGGAGAUGUUCAGACAGCAGCAAAGGCAGAGAGAUAUUGAGUUCCCAGCAGCUCACUCGGGAGAAGGCGAAGGGCAGCCCAGCACUUGGCAGCUCAGGAAUCAGAUCAGGUGCAUGAGAUCGAGUCAGUGCCGCAUCCACCGAAUGGGACAGUGUGAUGGUCACGCAUUUACUUUUAUGGCGACCUUUUUAUAUUCUGACACUGCUUUGCCAUUGAGAGGACCGAUUAUAACCUUUCCUUUUAAAAUAAAGGCAAGUGGAAAUGGUGAGUCGAUUUGAGGGGAAAGAUGUAAGUAAUCACAGAGGUGAUAUAAGCAGGGCAACGUCAGAGAGAUGGUACAAGGAUGACUGGAGACAAAAGGCCGUAGCUCAAGGCAUCUGGACCAGCACUCCCAGCUCUGUCAGUGACUGUGAGCUGAGGUUCUGUCUGUCCACUGCUGCUCUCACUGCAGCAUCCAAGAUGUCGCACACCCUUAGCACAGCCCUAAUGUCACUCUGGGCUGAAUCCUGGCUUGGCAAACUCGAUCCAGUUGUGCAAAAUGCUUGGGUGGAGCAAUAAAUACUUCAAAACAUAAAACAUAUCUGAAAGGGGACUUACUUGUAAAAGCCAAAGAUUUCCUGCUCUGACAAUGAGCUUGGAAUAAAGGGCAGCAGUUUGUGAUUUAGCUGCUCAAAAAUUGCUCUUCAGAGAAAAUCUUCCAAUGGAGGCCGCAAAUGUGAUAAAGCACAGUGACUGCUGAUGAGCUCUGCACUGCACACGGGCAUGACCUUCAAGCUGCAGGUUCUCGAGAGGGGGUAGCAAUCAGCCUGGGGACUUCCUGAGCACGGACAUUUUGGCCCAAGGACCUCUGUGUGUGUCCCGAGGCUCCUGUAAAACUGCACUGUGCUGGAGUACGGCCCAAAGGCUGUGACCAUUCAUCUCUUCUAAAAUCAGAACCCACAUUGGCUACUUCACCUUGGGGUCAGCAGGAGGCAUCCACUCUGUGUCAUCUGGCCUUUAGGUACGGGAGUAUUUUGUUAUUUGUGGGGUUUCUAACGUACUGGUUUUUUGUGUGCUUGCUUUUUUAUUUAAUUUCAGAAAUGAAGGAGGGUAUACAGUGAAGAUACUAAUAAAUGGAAAGGUUCGGAAAUCCAUAGGGUCGAAAAAACUGAAAGGCUAGUUAGGAGAGGGUGGCAUGUCAGCAGAAGAACAAAAUCUGAUAAGAACAGAUACUACACUUGAUCUUAGCCAAAAGGCCGAGAAGCGAUGAGAACAAAAUCUUAGACGUUUAGACAGAGCUCUACAGCCUAAAGGAGACUUGUCCUUGCUUUUCCUUCUCCAAAAGUGACUCUCUUUGCACCCAAUUGCUAAAUUGUUAUUCCCGGAUAACCCAAGAGAGGAAGG